rnacentral:rRNA from 1 species
AUUGAACGCUGGCGGCAUGCCUUACACAUGCAAGUCGAACGGUAACGCGGGGCAACCUGGCGACGAGUGGCGAACGGGUGAGUAAUAUAUCGGAACGUGCCCAAUAGUGGGGGAUAGCCCGGCGAAAGCCGGAUUAAUACCGCAUACGACCUGAGGGUGAAAGCGGGGGAUCGCAAGACCUCGCGCUAUUGGAGCGGCCGAUAUCAGAUUAGGUAGUUGGUGGGGUAACGGCUUACCAAGGCGACGAUCUGUAGCGGGUCUGAGAGGAUGAUCCGCCACACUGGAACUGAGACACGGUCCAGACUCCUACGGGAGGCAGCAGUGGGGAAUUUUGGACAAUGGGCGCAAGCCUGAUCCAGCCAUGCCGCGUGAGUGAAGAAGG